rnacentral:rRNA from 1 species
GUCUAUGGCCAUGCCACCCUGAACGUGCCCAAUCUUAUCUGAUCUCGGAAGCUAAGCAGGGUUGGGCCUGGUUAGUACUUGAAUGGGAGACCAACUAGGAAGAUCAGGUGCUGUAGGCA